GACGAACGCUGGCGGCGUGCCUAAUACAUGCAAGUAGAACGCACAGUUUAUACCGUAGCUUGCUACACCAUAGACUGUGAGUUGCGAACGGGUGAGUAACGCGUAGGUAACCUGCCUGGUAGCGGGGGAUAACUAUUGGAAACGAUAGCUAAUACCGCAUAAUAUUGAUUAUUGCAUGAUAAUUGAUUGAAAGAUGCUAUUGCAUCACUACCAGAUGGACCUGCGUUGUAUUAGCUAGUAGGUGAGGUAACGGCUCACCUAGGCGACGAUACAUAGCCGACCGUGGAGGGGGGACGGCCCCCACGGGAAUUGGAACCGGCCCAGACCCCUACGGGAGGCAGCAGUAGGGAAUUUUCGGAAAUGGACGAAAGGCUGACCGAGCAACGCCGCGUGAGGGAAGAAGGUUUUCGGAUCGUAAAGCUCUGUUGUAAGAGAAGAACGGGUGGGAGAGGGGAAAGUUCACACUGUGACGGUACCUUACCAGAAAGGGACGGCUAACUACGUG
rnacentral:rRNA from 1 species